AAAUUGAAGAGUUUGAUCAUGGCUCAGAUUGAACGCUGGCGGCAGGCCUAACACAUGCAAGUCGAGCGGUAGCACAGAGAGCUUGCUCUCGGGUGACGAGCGGCGGACGGGUGAGUAAUGUCUGGGAAACUGCCUGAUGGAGGGGGAUAACUACUGGAAACGGUAGCUAAUACCGCAUAACGUCGCAAGACCAAAGUGGGGGACCUUCGGGCCUCAUGCCAUCAGAUGUGCCCAGAUGGGAUUAGCUAGUAGGUGGGGUAACGGCUCACCUAGGCGACGAUCCCUAGCUGGUCUGAGAGGAUGACCAGCCACACUGGAACUGAGACACGGUCCAGACUCCUACGGGAGGCAGCAGUGGGGAAUAUUGCACAAUGGGCGCAAGCCUGAUGCAGCCAUGCCGCGUGUGUGAAGAAGGCCUUCGGGUUGUAAAGCACUUUCAGCGGGGAGGAAGGCGUUAAGGUUAAUAACCUUGGCGAUUGACGUUACCCGCAGAAGAAGCACCGGCUAACUCCGUGCCAGCAGCCGCGGUAAUACGGAGGGUGCAAGCGUUAAUCGGAAUUACUGGGCGUAAAGCGCACGCAGGCGGUCUGUCAAGUCGGAUGUGAAAUCCCCGGGCUCAACCUGGGAACUGCAUUCGAAACUGGCAGGCUAGAGUCUUGUAGAGGGGGGUAGAAUUCCAGGUGUAGCGGUGAAAUGCGUAGAGAUCUGGAGGAAUACCGGUGGCGAAGGCGGCCCCCUGGACAAAGACUGACGCUCAGGUGCGAAAGCGUGGGGAGCAAACAGGAUUAGAUACCCUGGUAGUCCACGCCGUAAACGAUGUCGAUUUGGAGGUUGUGCCCUUGAGGCGUGGCUUCCGGAGCUAACGCGUUAAAUCGACCGCCUGGGGAGUACGGCCGCAAGGUUAAAACUCAAAUGAAUUGACGGGGGCCCGCACAAGCGGUGGAGCAUGUGGUUUAAUUCGAUGCAACGCGAAGAACCUUACCUGGUCUUGACAUCCACAGAACUUUCCAGAGAUGGAUUGGUGCCUUCGGGAACUGUGAGACAGGUGCUGCAUGGCUGUCGUCAGCUCGUGUUGUGAAAUGUUGGGUUAAGUCCCGCAACGAGCGCAACCCUUAUCCUUUGUUGCCAGCGGUUAGGCCGGGAACUCAAAGGAGACUGCCAGUGAUAAACUGGAGGAAGGUGGGGAUGACGUCAAGUCAUCAUGGCCCUUACGACCAGGGCUACACACGUGCUACAAUGGCAUAUACAAAGAGAAGCGACCUCGCGAGAGCAAGCGGAUCUCAUAAAGUAUGUCGUAGUCCGGAUUGGAGUCUGCAACUCGACUCCAUGAAGUCGGAAUCGCUAGUAAUCGUAGAUCAGAAUGCUACGGUGAAUACGUUCCCGGGCCUUGUACACACCGCCCGUCACACCAUGGGAGUGGGUUGCAAAAGAAGUAGGUAGCUUAACCUUCGGGAGGGCGCUUACCACUUUGUGAUUCAUGACUGGGGUGAAGUCGUAACAAGGUAACCGUAGGGGAACCUGCGGUUGGAUCACCUCCUUA
rnacentral:rRNA from 1 species